CUUGCUUCUCUUGAGAGCGGCGGACGGGUGAGUAAUGCCUAGGAAUCUGCCUGGUAGUGGGGGAUAACGUCCGGAAACGGACGCUAAUACCGCAUACGUCCUACGGGAGAAAGCAGGGGACCUUCGGGCCUUGCGCUAUCAGAUGAGCCUAGGUCGGAUUAGCUAGUUGGUGGGGUAAUGGCUCACCAAGGCGACGAUCCGUAACUGGUCUGAGAGGAUGAUCAGUCACACUGGAACUGAGACACGGUCCAGACUCCUACGGGAGGCAGCAGUGGGGAAUAUUGGACAAUGGGCGAAAGCCUGAUCCAGCCAUGCCCCGUGUGUGAAGAAGGUCUUCGGAUUGUAAAGCACUUUUAAAUUGGG
rnacentral:rRNA from 1 species